GUUUUGGGCCACAUCAUCACUUGUUUUUGUGCGAUGUGAGGAUUGUCUAGGUCCCAUUUUAUUAGCCUGUGCAGCUUCAGCAUCAACAUUUUGAUUACUGUGAGGUUGGACCAUCCGCGAUUUGGGUUGCCAAUGAGAUGUUGAACGUUCCCCAACACCCCGAAUUUCUUUAGCAGCAGCAGCAGAUACAUCUUUUUGAUCUGCCUCGAGCACUUCAGAUCCAGAAGAAAUUUUUUCGUUGUCUCCGCUUCUAAGUUUCUUGUCAUUUAAAUCAUA
rnacentral:misc_RNA from 1 species